GAGCCUGUCCUUGUGUUACUAAAUACUGCUCAGAACGUGCUUGUUAAUGACAUGUGGCAUUUCAUCACAUGGAUUUGCCUUUAUCUGUAGUUUUUCUUUAUUACCAGUGAUGCGGUGAACAUGCAUGUGCAUAAAUCUGCAUGCUUGUCUUUAUCUUCCCAUAAGCUGAAUUCUAACCACUGGAGCUACGGGGUCAAAUGUUUUGGCCACUUGUGGCUAUUGCUGGGGCCUGAUUUCUCUUCUGAAGAAGGGCAGAAUUUACAGGCUCUGAAGUUCCUAAAGGCUUGAGCAGAGAAGUGUCCCGGAAGCCAUAUUCAAGCCACGCCCUGGUUUGUGGAUCCAGAGACUCGAGGCAGGGCCUCUGGUUACUGAGCACCUUGUUACCUGGCGCUCUCCCCGUGUGUCACAUCUGCAGGGCGGUGGUGGGACAGGAGAGGAGCAGGUGCUGCUACCUCGCUUCCUGGACCUCACCAGAAGAACCACAAUUGACAGCCAUUCCUUCCUCUAACACGACAUUGCAGAUGCUCCUGCAAGCUGGGUGCUGGCUGCGUGAGAGAUGAGAUGAGCAUGCAGCCUGUGACCCCGGAAUUCACAGAGACCCGGGAGACAGCCGGCAGGAGACAGCUGCUUGAGGGUGCUAAGCACUGUGAUGGGCCGGGCCCCUGUGGCCCUGGGACCAGGGAGGGCGUACUGCAGCGGCACAGGUUGAGCAGAAAGCGAUUCUGGGAUAGCAGGUGUCUCCCUGCUCACGGAAGAGGAAGUGCCUGGCUCUGUCGCUCAAGGUGCAGACGAGUCUUGUCAGCUGCCUUCUCCACUUCAGACGCAUGGUGCAGUCUGUCCAGUGCACGGGGACACGCAGAUAAUUAUAAAGAAGAACGUGUCUCCUCCACUGUUGAGUGACAUCUAGGUGGGAGCCUGCAGGACCUUUCUGGGCUUUCCGUGCAGAUGUCGGUCUGUGGGAAGAAGCCCUGGUCCCUGCCUGGCGCGGGUCCUGCUGCCCCUGAGGCCUCUCUGCAUACCUCGGGGACCUCACGGCCUUUGGAGACCGUGGCCGCCUGGCUGUUUCACUCCGAAGCCACGAGCUGAGGCUGGGUGGGUAGAGUGGGUUCUGUGGACCAUCGAGGGGGAUAACCUGGUACCGGGGUCUGGCGCUGUCCUGAGUUCUUGGGGCCUGAGGAUGGGAGGCUGCAGCCUGCCCACACCUCCUCUCCCUGCCCCAUCCCUGCACUGUGCUGGGUGGAGGCUUCCUGAGCUCAGUGAGUGGUGACCUUGCUUCCAGCCUCUGAAGGGCAUGGAGUAGAAGUGAUGUGUCUCUGCAGUGGGAUGUGUGGGAUCUUAAUAUCCCAGGCAGGCUGGAGGGGCCGGGGCCGCCUUCAGCCAGUGCUCGGAGGUGGGCCAGUGCCGAACACUGGCCACUGCCCGGCCAUGCAGGCAUCGCCUUCUGCAGCACCCCUACCCCACUGUAGGGUUCCCUGCUUGCAGAGCAAACGAAGACUGAAGCUCCGAGGAAGGGAAGGGACUCGCCCAAGGCCACACAGCAGGCUGGCAAAGCUGGGGUCCGUCCUAGAGUCCAUGUUAUCUGUGCUGUGCCUGUGCUCCCCGGCCUGUCUCAGACACUGGAGGCCAAGGCCACUGUGCCCCACUGGGAGUACAGGAGCUCUGCUGACUCAGAUUCUGAUGACUCAGGAGACAGGGCAUCUGUCGCCAGGACGGCGAGGCCCAGGACUGACUGGGCCUGCCCACAGCCACGCAGCUAAAAUGUGAAGCAGGAAUUCCCACUGGUCUGGAGGGUCACAGAUUCUGCCCUCUGUUCCCAGGCAGACUCCAGGUGCUGCCUGGCUCCUUCCCCUGGCAGCGGAUGCCAGAGCCAGGGCGCUGCCGCAGGAGCUCUGGAGCGGGGCCUGGCAAGCUGUGGGCAUGGGGUCCAAGUCCCUCUGUGCCCCAGAUUGGCCACACCUGCCAAGUCCCUUGCCUUCCUAGGCCCUGCCCCCUCUUGGCCUCCUGGGGCCCCUUCCUGGCCCACAGUGGGAUGCAUGCCUAGUUGGCUGUGCUUGCUCCAGGGUGGGAGGGGCUUUUCUGUGGCCAGGCCGUGGUUUCCCUUUGGAGGUGGCCGUGGGUGACCUUGGACUCGCACCUCAGCCUGUGAGACUUAGGCUCUGCCUUACUCUGGCUCCUGAGUAGACACCAGUGUUUUCCGAGGCUGUGCUCUGCGUGCAUGCACGUGCAUGUGUGUGUGCACGCUUGUGCAUGCGGACUGUGAAUCCUGGAGGCUCAGACGGCACAGAGCACACCUGUUUCUGUAGCCGAUCUCAUCCUGCUUUGGAGAAACCAGUGGUGGGAAGGAUAUUUUAUUGAAUAAAAAUUUCUGGUUAAACAGAGCUCAUUUUGUCCAGAUUUUUAAGAAUCAAUGAAAGUAGAG
ensembl:lncRNA